CAUCAUUUCGUCCUGGUCAUCGUCUCUCCUCUCAUCUUUUUCUCAUCGCAGCUACCCUGCGCCGCGCCGUCCUCCUCCUCUUCGAGCCCUUCGGCGGCAUCCUUCUCCUCCCUUCUCUUCGGGUUCCUCGUCGAGCCCUCCCCCUCUCACUGCCACGUCCCCACGAAGCGGAGAGCUACACCGAGAGGUAUCGCGCGGCGUCGGCCUCUGUUCCACCAGUCUCGCUUCUUUCCUACGCUUCGCCUCGCUCUUCCUCGCUCUUCCUCGCUCUUCCUCGCUCUUCCUCCCUCCUAGCCGCCGUCCUUCUCGCCGUCAUUCUCGUCGUCCUUCUCGCCGCACGGUCGCUAGCCAACCGCAGUCGUCCAGCGCGUUCGCCCUCGUCGCGCGGACCUGCCACUCCGACGGCUACCAGGAGUAGCUGCACGCGCGCACGAGGUGCCUAGGGCCUGGAGGAGGUCCGAGAAGACACGCCGAGCGAGACCGGUACCACUGGAGCUCCGGCAACCGGCGCGCCUUCAAGUCGAGCCGAUCGGUCCAGGGACCACAGCGACACGAUAUAUAUAUAUCGAUCCACCGAUCUCGAUCGACCACCGGACACUCCGCGGCUCGCAAUCGAUCCCACGAUAACCGAGGACCCCGAGUGUCACGCGACCACCUCGAGCACAUCCUCCGAGGAGGCCCGGUUCGUGAGAGUGUUCCAACCGCAGUUCUCCCGGUUCCUCGAAUGACAGAACUUUACUCGCUGGCACGGGGAGGAGCGUUUGUGAAUCGUAGACUCUAUGAACGAAGUGUCGGACAGCGGAUAGAGGGUAGACGUAUUCGAGGUCACAGUGCCGGGAACGAUGAGCAGGAAGGAAGCGACCUGAUGCUAACUAGGGGAACCGCCUCGAAGAUGACAUUUGCCGCGCGCGUCCCACGAGCCGGAAUCGCGUUGAUCGCGUGUCAUUAGGGGAACAAUUGAACAGCGGAGUUUUCGACAGUGAGCUCUCGAACACGCCACCACGGAGAGAAACGUUCCCGCGACGUAGGUGUAUCAUUACAGAGUCGGGUUUCUCCUGACACCCGCGCGGAAGACACGUAUCCAUCUUGUUCGCCGUGAAAGCGGAAUCGCUUCCUGUGACCCGCGCCGAAUCCGUGGUUCAAGUGCCGAGAAUGAACGUGUCCACGGUCUGAGAACUAUGAUCCGUUGAAUGGAAGAUUGAACGCGGAGGCGUGACUGUCCGCUGACGAAGAGAAUCGGCUUUUUCGAGGGAGGAGGGAAGGCGAUUCGAGGGCCCUUCCGGAUGCGCUUGGGACGUUGAAGAAUCGUCUUCGGCCGCAAGAAACGUCAACAGGUUAUCGGGGAAAUCCUUGGAUCAAUAUGCCGCAUACAGGCCAAGCGGGAGUGAAUCAAUUGGGCGGUGUCUUUGUUAACGGGAGACCAUUGCCCGACUGUGUUCGACAAAGGAUCGUGCAACUCGCAUUGGUCGGCG